rnacentral:rRNA from 1 species
AAGUCGAGCGGCAGCGACAGUUACAAUCCUUCGGGUGCGUUUCUGGGCGGCGAGCGGCGGACGGGUGAGUAAUGCCUGGGAAUAUGCCUUGAUGUGGGGGAUAACUAUUGGAAACGAUAGCUAAUACCGCAUAAUCUCUUCGGAGCAAAGAGGGGGACCUUCGGGCCUCUCGCGUCAAGAUUAGCCCAGGUGGGAUUAGCUAGUUGGUGAGGUAAUGGCUCACCAAGGCAACGAUCCCUAGCUGGUCUGAGAGGAUGAUCGGCCACACUGGAACUGAGACACGGUCCAGACUCCCACGGGAGGCAGCAGUGGGGAAUAUUGCACAAUGGGCGCAAGCCUGAUGCAGCCAUGCCGCGUGUGUGAAGAAGGCCUUCGGGUUGUAAAGCACUUUCAGUCGUGAGGAAGGCAGUGUAGUUAAUAGCUGCAUUGUUUGACGUUAGCGACAGAAGAAGCACCGGCUAACUCCGUGCCAGCAGCCGCGGUAAUACGGAGGGUGCGAGCGUUAAUCGGAAUUACUGGGCGUAAAGCGCAUGCAGGUGGAUGAUUAAGUCAGAUGUGAAAGCCCGGGGCUCAACCUCGGAACAGCAUUUGAAACUGGUCAUCUAGAGUACUGUAGAGGGGGGUAGAAUUUCAGGUGUAGCGGUGAAAUGCGUAGAGAUCUGAAGGAAUACCGGUGGCGAAGGCGGCCCCCUGGACAGAUACUGACACUCAGAUGCGAAAGCGUGGGGAGCAAACAGGAUUAGAUACCCUGGUAGUCCACGCCGUAAACGAUGUCUACUUGGAGGUUGUGGCCUUGAGCCGUGGCUUUCGGAGCUAACGCGUUAAGUAGACCGCCUGGGGAGUACGGUCGCAAGAUUAAAACUCAAAUGAAUUGACGGGG